GAUGAACGCUGGCGGCGUGCCUAAUACAUGCAAGUCGAGCGAACGGGCGAGAAGCUUGCUUCUCUGAUGUUAGCGGCGGACGGGUGAGUAACACGUGGAUAACCUACCUAUAUGACUGGGAUAACUACGGGAAACCGGCGCUAAUACCGGAUGAUAUUUUGAACCGCAGGGUGCAAAGGUGAAAGUCGGUCUUGCUGUCACUUAUAGAUGGAUCCGCGCUGUCUUAGCUAGUUGGUAAGGUAACGGCUUACCAAGGCUACGAUGCAUAGCCGACCUGAGAGGGUGAUCGGCGACCCUGGAACUGGGCCACGCUCAAGGCUCCUACGGGAGACAGCAGUAGCGAACCUGCGGCAGUGGGCGAAAGCCUGACGGAGCAGCGCCGAGUGAGUGACGGAGGUCUUCGGAUCGUGAAACUCUGUUAUUAGGGAAGAACCUAUUUGGAAGUAACUGUGGACAUAUUGACGGUAACGAGUAAGAAAGCCCCGGCUAACUACGUG
rnacentral:rRNA from 1 species